UUUUUGUUUUUUUCUGGUUUGUCAGGGUAGCUUACGCGUUGUUAUUGAGGAAGAGAUCCAGUUGCAGCAGACAGCUGACACAGAAAGACAGAAACAGCUCCUGAAACACUGAGAUACACUUUAAAGUGUGCCACAGAUCAACCAUUCUGAGAGAGAUGGUGUGAUUGAUCAUCAACGCCUGCAGGUACGUGGUGCUGAAGAUCCGGGCUGCAGUGAGAGGCGAGCCGCAGACGGAGAAAAGCAGCACCACAUGUAGCCAGGCAAGGCAGGCAACUGCUAGGGCCCCGGACCAGAAGGGGGCCCCCAAAGAAGGACAAAUGGACAGCAGGAUGAGUCGGGAUGGAUCUGCCUUGAUCCCAAACCCGACACAGAGUGGGGGGGUCCUGCAGAAGGAAGAGUGCGGAUCCUGAAAGUAAACCCAGAGCCGGAGUGUAGUGUGGACGGACUAUAAUGAGGAGACAAACAAAUACACUACACAGAAACACACACAGAGAAACAAGCACAUCCUGGUAGAUGCUCUUCUUCUACUCGACUUUUCAAAUAUAAUGAAAUGCUAAAUUGCUGAUUUCUUUUUCAAAUAUAAUCUCUGCCAUGAAAUGUAUAGGUUCAUUUAUUGCACUGACAUGCACAAUUAUGUGUGUGUGCUCCCUCCCCAGUCUCACCACACAAAUACUGACACCACCAUUCAUAAAAAAACAUGACAAAUAAACUCUGACCCUCAUUGAACUCCCACCUGCUUCCAGCUCUCGGUUCACUUUCCCGCUCGUCCUCCAUCCAGUGGAGAGAGCAGUCUGAGUUGGCGGAGAGAAUGAAAGCCUGAUCACCAAUUCCCCAGCAGAGGAACGGAUCAGUCCGGAUAAAUAUGAAAUACUCUGCUGAUAAAGAUGCACCAAGUCAUUUAUUCAUUGGCCUGUUCUUUUUCCCUGUAACUGUAACUCUUUUCAGUAAAAAAGAGCAAAGUUCUUGAGUUA